UUAGCGGAGGAAAAGAAACUAACAAGGAUUCCCCUAGUAACGGCGAGUGAAGCGGGAUGAGCUCAAAUUUAAAAUCUGGCGGCCUCAGGUCGUCCGAGUUGUAGUCUAGAGAAUCGUUUUCCGCGUUGGCCUGUGUACAAGUCCCUUGGAACAGGGCGUCAUAGAGGGUGAGAAUCCCGUCCUUGACACAGAUUACCAAUGCUUUGUGAUGCGAUCUCGAAGAGUCGAGUUGUUUGGGAAUGCAGCUCAAAAUGGGUGGUAAAUUCCAUCUAAAGCUAAAUAUUGGCGAGAGACCGAUAGCGAACAAGUACCGUGAGGGAAAGAUGAAAAGCACUUUGGAAAGAGAGUUAAACAGUACGUGAAAUUGUUAAAAGGGAAACGAUUGAAGUCAGUCAUGCUUUCCGAGACUCAGCCGAUUCUGUCGGUGUACUUCUCGGUUGGCAGGCCAGCAUCAGUUUCGAUCUGUGGAAAAGGUUGGAGGGAACGUGGCAUCUCCGGAUGUGUUAUAGCCCUUCUUCGAAUACAUAGAGCGGGACUGAGGAACGCAGCGCGCCUUUUAUUAGGUUGGCCCUCGGGUACAUACGCGCUUAGGAUGCUGGCAUAAUGGCUUUAAACGACCCGUCUGAA
rnacentral:rRNA from 1 species